rnacentral:lncRNA from 1 species
GUUUUGUUUCUUUCAACAAGAAUUAAAAUUCACAAAAGCAGGGGUAUUUGUUUUGUUCCAAGCUCUUGAAAUAAUGUGUGACACAUAGUAGGCAUUUAACAAGUAUUAAAUUCAAUUAAGUAGUGAGUACACCACAGUGAAGGUGGUUGAAGUGAGGGUUGAAUGAAAUAAUCUACAGUAAGUGCUGCAAUGAUGCCUGACUUGUUUCUUAUUGCCUUCUUUCAGUUUCUAGCUCCAGGGGAGUUAAAUGCCUCUAUUUCCUUCUUUCUAACUGCUCAAUCUAUUAGUCAGACUUUAAUUCCCAUCAUCACUUUAACAAUUCUCAUCAAAAUCACCAAUGAUUUUCCUUUCAUUAAACCCAUUGGAUAUCUUUUAGUCUUUAUCAUGUUUAACUUCACAGGAACAUUUGGCAUUGUAGACUUUUUCCUCUUGGGAGCUCAUUCUUCCUUUGGCACCUAGAAUGUUCUCCUGGCUGUCCCUCUACGACAUAUUUUUUUAAGCCUCCUUUGCUGGCCUCUCUUUCACUUUCUGACCCUAAAUGCUAGAGUUCCUUUGGUUAAUUUAUGCUUUCUCUUGUGGGCUGAAUUAUUCUCCCUCCCCAAAUUUAUAUAUUGAAGUCCUAAUACCCAGAACUUCAGAAUAUGACUGUAUUUGGGGGCUAGAGUCUUAAGUAUUUAUUUUUU